rnacentral:rRNA from 1 species
GGCAUCAUUACCGAGUUUACAACUCCCAAACCCAAUGUGAACCAUACCAAACUGUUGCCUCGGCGGGGUCACGCCCCGGGUGCGUCGCAGCCCCGGAACCAGGCGCCCGCCGGAGGGACCAACCAAACUCUUUUCUGUAGUCCCCUCGCGGACGUUAUUUCUUACAGCUCUGAGCAAAAAUUCAAAAUGAAUCAAAACUUUCAACAACGGAUCUCUUGGUUCUGGCAUCGAUGAAGAACGCAGCGAAAUGCGAUAAGUAAUGUGAAUUGCAGAAUUCAGUGAAUCAUCGAAUCUUUGAACGCACAUUGCGCCCGCCAGUAUUCUGGCGGGCAUGCCUGUCCGAGCGUCAUUUCAACCCUCGAACCCCUCCGGGGGGUCGGCGUUGGGGACCUCGGGAGCCCCUAAGACGGGAUCCCGGCCCCGAAAUACAGUGGCGGUCUCGCCGCAGCCUCUCCUGCGCAGUAGUUUGCACAACUCGCACCGGGAGCGCGGCGCGUCCACGUCCGUAAAACACCCAACUUCUGAAAUGUUGACCUCGGAUCAGGUAGGAAUACCCGCUGAACUUAAGCAUAUCAAAA